rnacentral:antisense_RNA from 1 species
CAUUUUUUUGAGUAUUGUUUUGUUUAGCUUCAUGAAAAUUAUCUGUACACCAUCCA